UACGUAGGGGGCAAGCGUUGGCCGGAAUUAUUGGGCGUAAAGAGCUCGUAGGUGGUUCGUCGCGUCGGCUGUGAAAACCCGGAGCUCAACUCCGGGCCUGCAGUCGAUACGGGCGGACUUGAGUGUUGCAGGGGAGACUGGAAUUCCUGGUGUAGCGGUGAAAUGCGCAGAUAUCAGGAGGAACACCGGUGGCGAAGGCGGGUCUCUGGGCAACUACUGACGCUGAGGAGCGAAAGCGUGGGGAGCGAACAGG
rnacentral:rRNA from 1 species